rnacentral:rRNA from 1 species
AUCNAGGANGAAGUCUGACGGAGCACGCCGCGUGAGUGAUGAAGGUUUUCGGAUCGUAAAGCUCUGUUGNCAGGGAAGAACAAGUGCGAGAGUAACUGCUCGCACCUUGACGGUACCUGACCAAGAAAGCCACGGCUAACUACGUGCCAGCAGCCGCGGUAAUACGA